AACCAUAGAAACCUGCGGAGUACCUGCGGAAGGAUCAUUAGUGAUAUAGAAAAUCUAUUUUCUAGUCUCUAUAUACACCCUUUUGUCAACUUAUACCUUUGUUGCUUCCACUGGACAGAUGGAUGCGCCCAGUUGCGAGUCCAUCCUCUGGCCUCUUCACAGAGGACGGGGAGUGCUGGUGGAAAGAAUACAAUUAAAACUUUGUCUUUAGAAAACUUGUCUGACAAUUAUAUUUUUUUA
rnacentral:misc_RNA from 1 species